ACCCUUAUCUCGAUGUCUCCUUCAAUCGGAGAAAAUACUUCACAACACAAUGAAAGCCAAGCACCAUGAGCCAGCAAUAACCACUGAAGUGUGUGAGAAAGGCUGAAACCCGUUCUCUAAGACCUACAGCAAGGUAUACAAAGCAACUCAAAAUGGAUGGAAGCUUGAAUGCUGGAGCUGAAACUAAGCUUCUUGAAGGAACCAGGGAAGCCUGAGGAUUCUGGGACUGGCAAGAACUUCUGGAUGGCAUCCAAGUUAACUCUGGAAAGUUGACACAACCUCAGAAGGGAGUUUCAAUUGAGGAGAAUGGCCAGAUCAGAUUGGCCUGUGGGCAUGACUGUGGGACUGUCUUGAUUAUUGAGGUGGGGGGCCCAGCCCACUGUGGGAAGCAUUAUUCCUUGGUCAGGACGUCCUGGGCUGUAUGAGAAUGCUGGCUAAUAAGCAUGCGUCUGCAAGCUAGCAGUAACCAGUCCUUCUCAUUCAAGUUCUUGCUUGGGCUCCUGCCCU
rnacentral:lncRNA from 1 species